GGGAUGGUCUUUCCAAUUUUCUAUCUUUCGUAAUUUCUUUGUAAUAUCUGGUGACAAAACGGAGCUCUAACAUUCCUCAUCCAAGGGGGUUUUCUAAUUCUAGGCCAGCAUAUUUCCUCCUUUGCUCUUUAAGCCUCUCUAAGAAUUCCGUAGGUCCUUUAUCCUUUCCCUGUUGUAUAUUAAAAGCUUUGGUAUAUUUUGAGUUCGAGGAACUGAUUCCCGAAUCCCUUUAAUUAUCCUAUCUCUAAGAUCUCUCAUAUUCCCUCAAUGGGCUACAUUGUUAUCUCAUUGAGGAUCUUGGGCUGGGAACUUUUGUUUAGCUGCAAGGACGUUAUGACUGAGGGGGUGUUCACGUUCCCAAACCGUCAUAGUGCAGAUCAUGCUUCUUUCCUCUCCCGAAAAGAGGAUGCCUAGGAUGGACAUUAACUCAGUCCAAGUAUACAACUGGGGUCCUAGAAAUUGAUCAAUUUGAUCUGCUACUCCAUAGGGAUUGUCUAAGAGUGGUUUGAGCCCUUUUUAGGCUUCGGACUUCUGAACUGGUUAACAGGGCGUUCACAAAACAAAUGCCCCCUCCUCCUAGAAGCACUUCCCUUAAGGGAAAGAUCGUUGGAGCAGAUUCUCGAGGUAGUGGGGAAAGGAAAGUUUUGGAUAUCUUUUUUACACUGUUCUAUCUCACGUUGAAGUCUUCCUGGGGAAGGGCAUUCAGGCUAGGGAGACCCCAAGUCAGGAUUAUAAGGGGAAGAAACAAAGUGAGCUGGGGAAGGGUCUGGGGCAG
rnacentral:lncRNA from 1 species